UUGUUGAUCUCCUGGUAAUUC
ensembl:piRNA 21ur-7145 ncRNA